rnacentral:lncRNA from 1 species
GCGGCUCGGCUUGCUCUCGGGGUGACUCGCGGCGAGGAGAGAGGGAGAGAUCCAACGGGGAGAGAAAGGAGAGAGAGAGGCGUGAGAGAAGAAGAGAGAAAAGAAAAAGAUAAGCUUGACGGCUAGGGUUUCCUAGUCUCUCUAAAUCUCUGCAGAGCUUCGCUCAAGUUUCAGAAUGAGACAAAAGAAGGGGCUGCAACUCUUUUUAUAUGAAAAGGUGAAGGGAACCCUAGGUUUUUGUCAAGUGGACCGUAGAGAAGCCCAUUCUUUUAUGAAAAUUUUUGGGUCAGGAACCGGGCCGUUACAACAAGUUUUUACAAAAAAACAAAAACAGAAAAGAGCACGUUUUUGUAGCCCUUCACCAUUCGGUAGGAGACGUAAUUACAAGAUUGGUAUGUCCAAUGGAUCGAAUUCAUGAUCAUCAUAUGAGAAAUGAAAUAUAAACAAAUUUUGUAAACUAAGGUAAGCUAUAGUAUUGUUAGUCCGAUAUAUACACAUAGAUAUAUAUAUAAUUUAUAUGAUAGAAAACAAUAAGAAACAUAUUAUUCGCGAUAGAAUAUCAUAUGAUCUUCUUAUUAUCCAUACCAUAAAAAUCCUAUGAUCUUUUUUUCAAAAAUUUAUAA